CAAUUGUAACACAGAUUUAGAUAGAUCUGCUCAUUAGCUACCAUAAAUUGUUCCACGUCGAUGUGCUCAGAUGUCUGUGGAAAAAGUUAUUCGAGAUAAAAAGACUUAACAUUUUCUCGGUUUUUCCAAAAAUAUCCUUAUUUUGCUACUUUGCAUGCUCAUAACUCGGUCAGUUUUCGAAGCAUCUUCAAUUGUAACACAGAUUUUGAUAGAUCAGCUCAUUGGCUACCAUAAGUUGUUCUACGUCGAUGUGCUCAGAUGUCUGUGGAAAAAGUUAUUCGAGAUACAAAGACUUAACAUUUUAUCGGUUUUUCUAAAAAAAUCCUUAUUUUGCUACUUUGCAUGCUCAUAACUCGGUCAGUUUUCGAUGGAUCUUCAAUUGUAACACAUAUUUGUAUAGAUCUGGUCAUUAGCUACCAAAAGUUAUUCUACGCCGAUGUGCUAAGUUGUCUGUGGAAAAAGUUAUUCGAGGUACAAAGACUUAACAUUUUCUCAAUUUUUCCUAAAAAAUUCCUCAUUUUGCCACUUUGGAUGCUUAUAACUCGGUCAGUUUCCAAUGGAUCUUCAAUUGUAACACAUAUUUGGAUAGAUCUGGUCAUUAGCUACCAAAAGUUAUUCUCCGCCGAUGUGCUAAGUUGUCUGUGGAAAAAGUUAUUCGAGGUACAAAGACUUAACAUUUUCUCAACUUUUCCAAAAAAAUUCCUCAUUUUGCCACUUUGGAUGCUUAUAACUCGGUCAGUUUCCAAUGGAUCUUCAAUUGUGGCACAUAUUUGGAUAGAUCUGGUCAUUAGCUACCAAAAGUUAUUCUACGCCGAUGUGCUAAGUUGUCUGUGGAAAAAGUUAUUCGAGGUACAAAGACUUAACAUUUUCUCAACUUUUCCAAAAAAUUCCUCAUUUUGCCACUUUGGAUGCUUAUAACUCGGUCAGUUUUCGAUGGAUCUUCAAUUGUAACACAGAUUUGGAUAGAUCUGUUCAUUGGCUACCAUAAUUUGUUCCAUGUCGAUGUGCUCAGAUGUCUGUGGAAAAAGUUAUUCGAGAUACAAAGACUUAACAUUUUCUCGGUUUUUCCAAAAAAAUCCUCAUUUUGCUACUUUGCAUGCUCAUAACUCGGUCAGUUUUCGACGGAUCUUCAAUUGUAACACGGAUUUGGAUAGAUCUGCUCAUUGGCUACCAUAAAUUGUUCCACGUCGAUGUGCUCAGAUGUCUGUGGAAAAAGUUAUUCGAGAUACAAAGACUUAACAUUUUCUCGGUUUUUCCAAAAAAAUCCUUAUUUUGCUACUUUGCAUGCUCAUAACUCGGUCAGUUUUCGACGAAUCUUCAAUUGUAACACAGAUUUGAAUAGAUCAGCUCAUUGGCUACCAUAAGUUGUUCCAUGUCGAUAUGCUCAGAUGUCUGUGGAAAAAGUUAUUCGAGAUACAAAGACUUAACAUUUUCUCGGUUUUUCCAAAAAAUUUGCUCAUUUUGCCAAUUUGCAUGCUCAUAACUCGGUCAGUUUUCGACAGAUCUUCAAUUGUAACACAGAUUUUGAUAGAUCUGGUCAUUAGCUACCAAAAGUUAUUCUACGCCGAUGUGCUAAGUUGUCUGUGGAAAAAGUUAUUCGAGGUACAAAGACUUAACAUUUUCUCAACUUUUCCAAAAAAAUUCCUCAUUUUGCCACUUUGGAUCCUUAUAACUCGGUCAGUUUCCAAUGGAUCUUCAAUUGUAGCACAUAUUUGGAUAGAUCUGGUCAUUAGCUACCAAAAGUUAUUCUACGCCGAUGUGCUAAGUUGUCUGUGGAAAAAGUUAUUUGAGGUACAAAGACUUAACAUUUUCUCAACUUUUCCAAAAAAAUUCCUCAUUUUGCCACUUUGGAUGCUUAUAACUCGGUCAGUUUCCAAUGGAUCUUCAAUUGUAGCACAUAUUUGGAUAGAUCUGGUCAUUAGCUACCAAAAGUUAUUCUAGGCCGAUGUGCUAUGUUGUCUGUGGAAAAAGUUAUUCGAGGUACAAAGACUUAACAUUUUCUCAACUUUUCCAAAAAAAUUCCUCAUUUUGCCACUUUGGAUGCUUAUAACUCGGUCAGUUUCCAAUGGAUCUUCAAUUGUAGCACAUAUUUGGAUAGAUCUGGUCAUUAGCUACCAAAAGUUAUUCUAGGCCGAUGUGCUUAGUUGUUUGUGGAAAAAGUUAUUCGAGGUACAAAGACUUAACAUUUUCUCAACUUUUCCAAAAAAAUUCCUCAUUUUGCCACUUUGGAUGCUUAUAACUCGGUCAGUUUCCAAUGGAUCUUCAAUUGUAGCACAUAUUUGGAUAGAUCUGGUCAUUAGCUACCAAAAGUUAUUCUACGCCGAUGUGCUAUGUUGUCUGUGGAAAAAGU